rnacentral:lncRNA from 1 species
ACUGGGAGGCCGGUUGGGGCUGGGCUCAGGGGCCGAGACCUAGCUGGGCUUGGGGCGGGGCCGAGACGGAGCGAGGGGUCCAGGGUGUGGGAAACGGGGAGGGGUUUGAGGAGGGGAUCGGAAUGUGGCUCAAGUUCGGGAGGCGUUACCUGCGGAGGGUUUGAGGCAGGCCCAGGAGCGAGCCCAUGGUCUUCCGACGCGGGGCCAGGGGCGGGGCCCAGGAUCCGGAGCUUCGUGCGGGGCCGAGUCCAGGUUUGGGGCCCGGGAGGCGGGGCCAGUUAGGGCGAGGGUCCCUGGGAUCGUCGGGUCAGGCCUUGGGCUAACGUAGGCACUCUCGCAGUUCCUCCGCCUUCAGGAAGGUCUUUUCAGCAGGGGCCUUACGGGUGCAUGCUUCGGUCCUGGAGGCCUUAUCCUAGCCUCCUCUCCAUCAGCGCCACCCGUCUGGGGCCCGAAAGGAGGGAGCUUUCCCUCUGUCCCCCAGCCUUUGGACUGUCACUAAACAAGCCAUUCGUUCAUCAAAUACUUUUUAAGCGCCUACCAUGUGCCUGACAAGGGAGAUGUAACGGUGAGAAAAACUAGGUGUGGUCCAGGCCCUUCAGGGGCUCAGGUGCUCGUGGAAGAAGUGGACAUUGAAGUACUUAUCACACAAAUGAGGAUAAAAGUACGAUAACGAUAUCUACCACGAAGCUGUUGUUCCCCACCAGAACCAAAUGAGCGCAAGAUCUGACAAAGAAAAAAAAAGUCCCUGUAUCCUGAGAUGGAGUCACCUGAGAAUCCACAGCAAGUCCUAACCAGGGAUGGGUCUGGGUGAUUAAGGAAGGUUGGCUUCAGAACUGGGCCAGGGGCACUGCUUUGCUUUUGCUGUUUUGAUCAGCUCUCUGCCUGAAGGAGACAAGAAAAACCAACGGGAACAGCCCAGUAAAGGCGCCAUUCCCCAUUUUACAGCUGGGGAAACUGAGUUACAGAGCUUGUCUGCACUGAGUCAUCAGGAGCAAAUGCUAGAUCAGAUAGGGUCUCUCUCUCUGCCACCCAGGCCAGAGUGCAGUUGACGCAGGGCAGGGGAGCCCCGAAGUGGAGCAUAGUGUGUCCGGAACUGGUGGGUUCUUGGUCUCACUGACUUCAAGAAAGAAGCCGCGGACCCUCGCGAGACGGGGUCUUGCUCUGUUGCUCAAGCU